rnacentral:rRNA from 1 species
GACAGAGGAUGCAAGCGUUAUCCGGAAUUAUUGGGCGUAAAGCGUCCGCAGGUGGCACCUCAAGUCUGCUGUCAAAGACCGGGGCUUAACCCCAGAAAGGCAGUGGAAACUGAAGUGCUAGAGUGCAGUAGGGGUAGAGGGAAUUCCCGGUGUAGCGGUGAAAUGCGUAGAUAUCGGAAGGAACACCAGUGGCGAAAGCGGCUUCCUGGUCCAGCACCGACGUCAGGCACGAAAGCGUGGGGAGCAAACAGG